GGAAUAUUGGACAAUGGGGGCAACCCUGAUCCAGCCAUGCCGCGUGAGUGAUGAAGGCCUUCGGGUUGUAAAGCUCUUUUGGCGGGGACGAUGAUGACGGUACCCGCAGAAUAAGCCCCGGCUAACUUCGUGCCAGCAGCCGCGGUAAGACGAAGGGGGCUAGCGUUGUUCGGAAUUACUGGGCGUAAAGAGAGUGUAGGUGGUUGUCCAAGUUGGAUGUGAAAGCCUUGAGCUCAACUCAAGAAAUGCAUUCAGGACUGGAUGACUAGAGGACCGGAGAGGAUAGUGGAAUUCCCAGUGUAGUGGUGAAAUACGUAGAGAUUGGGAAGAACACCAGUGGCGAAGGCGGCUAUCUGGACGGUUUCUGACACUAAGACUCGAAAGCGUGGGGAGCAAAC
rnacentral:rRNA from 1 species